UUCCAACUAACAUCCUGGUAUCAGGACAGGGACAGCCAGUGCUGAGUCCUGCCAGGCUGGGGGCAGGGUGGGGGGUAGGGAGAAAUCCAACUAGGGGACCCAUGGAUCUUGAAGGGGUGCCAAGAGUGCGCAGAGAGAUGCGCCCAGAGGGAUGGAGCUUCGUGCCUGCAGUUGAGCAUUGAGGAAGAAGACACGUGGGGGGAGCCUGGGGUCUAGAUGAAGAUGCAACUGCCUUUGGAAAAGAAGCAGCUGUCCCUCAUCUCAGCCAAGAGAGGGGCAGUUUGGUGUUCGGUGACUGGAUGCCUUGGCUGACACGGCGCCCUUGUUUCUGUCUGUGCUGAGACGGAGUGAUGAAAUGGCCGUGCUUUGCCGCGUCCCAUCAUCGUCUCCGAGGAGCCUCGCCUGAGCUGGGUGUCUCUGAGAACGCUGAUGGCCAGCGGGAGGGUUGAGCCAUUCUCUUCUUCACUAGUAAGGAUCCAGGCCAAGCUUCACCACGAGGUGGUAACUGGUAGAACACACCUGCCUGCAGAGCAUGAUGCCAAGCAUUUGUUUGUUGGUUAGAAUUUCCUUCUCUCCGCCACCCCUCAGCUUUACUGAGAUAUCAUUGACAAAAUCGUGUGCCUUUAAAGUGUACUAUGGGGGAGUUCCUGUGGCGGCUUAGCGGGUUAAGAACCUAACAUCGUCUCCCUGAGGAUUCAGGUUCAAUCCUUUGCCUUGCUCAGUGGAUUGAAGAUCCAGCAUUGCUGCAAGCCACAGCAUAGGCUGCAGAUGCAGCUCAGAUCCUGUGUGGCUGUGGCCAUAGUGUAGUAUGGCAGCUGCAGUUAUAAUUCGACCCCUAGCUAGGACCUUCCAUACCCUGCAGGUGCAGCCAUAAAAAGAAAAAUCAAAAAGUGUACAGUGUGAUGAUUUGGGAUACCUGGAUGUUAUGAAAUACUGGCCAUAAUCAAGUUAAUUUACACACCCAUCACCUGACAGUGUUUUACCUUUUACCUCUGAGAUGGGAAGGGUUAAGAUCUACUCUCUUAGCAACUUUCAAGCCUGCAACACAUUAGAGUUAACCACGGGCGCCAUGCUGGACAUUAGUCUCCAACACUUUUUCAUCUUUAACUGGAACUUUGUACGUUGAACACGUAUCUUCACUUCCAAGGUCCUGGCAACUAGCAUUCUAUUUUCAGUUCCCAUGGGCCCCCCCCUUUUUUUUUCCAGACUCCACAUUUUAAGUGAUACCAUGUGAGAGUAAUUGUCUUAGUUUGUCCAAUUUAUUUCACAUAACAUAAUGUCCACCAGGCUCAUCCACGUUGUCCCAAAUAGCAGGAUUUCUUUCUUUUUUAUGGCUGAAUAAUAUUCCACUGUGCCCAUUACAUUGUACAGGAUUUGCUUCUUUAUGGCCGGAUAAUAUUCCAUUGAACAUAUUACAUUAUACGGGAUUUCCUUUUUCUUUAUGGCUGAAUAAUACUCCAUCAUACAUCUAAGCCACCGUUCCUUUACCCAUCCCCCUGUCAAUGGGCACCUAAGUUGUUUCCACAUCUUGGCUAUUGGGAAUGAUGCUGCAAUGAACAUGGGAUGCGGGUACCUUUUGGGCUAGUGUUUUCAUUUCUUCAGAUAAAU